rnacentral:lncRNA from 1 species
GGUCCCAGGUGCCCGCAGGAUGAAGUACAGACAAUGACACCGUGCAGUUCUUUACAUCUCCCCUUGUAAUUUUGUGAGCUGCAGUAAGGAAUCGAUGUUCGGCUCGAUCCCCUGGUGCCGCUUGAUUUUUUUGUCUUGCAGAUUUUGCUGUGUAGUACUCAUGGAAUUGCAGCUCACAAAAAUUCUUCUUUGUGUUUUUUCAGAUUUUGGAUAUGUGCGGACGUGCAGUACAGUUCCCAUGAGACGCAGCUUGUUUUCGCCCAAGGUCGAUGAUCAUCAGGGCGAGAAGGAAAAGCGGGAGGAGUCCUAGCCACCCCUGACCACAGAUCGUGGAGCCAUGGUCGAGCAGUCGAGUCUGCCUAUUGUUGCAGUCCGUCCCACGGGCACCUGCAAUAUGCAUCGCCCCCACCUGUGUUAAGCUUGGGCUCCCCUUGGAUCGAGCUGCCACCGACGAGGUUUCUUCCAGAUGCAGUGCGGCAACGCGGAAGCAUGCGGUUCCAUGGCAAUCUUUAUGCAGUUUGAUUCAAUCUCCUAUAACCUUCCAC